rnacentral:piRNA from 1 species
UUCAAGACCAAGGUCUGAAAUGUGCUAACCC